UGGGGAAUUUUGGACAAUGGGCGAAAGCCUGAUCCAGCAAUGCCGCGUGUGUGAAGAAGGCCUUCGGGUUGUAAAGCACUUUUGUCCGGAAAGAAAUCCUUGGCUCUAAUACAGUCGGGGGAUGACGGUACCGGAAGAAUAAGCACCGGCUAACUACGUGCCAGCAGCCGCGGUAAUACGUAGGGUGCAAGCGUUAAUCGGAAUUACUGGGCGUAAAGCGUGCGCAGGCGGUUUGCUAAGACCGAUGUGAAAUCCCCGGGCUCAACCUGGGAACUGCAUUGGUGACUGGCAGGCUAGAGUAUGGCAGAGGGGGGUAGAAUUCCACGUGUAGCAGUGAAAUGCGUAGAGAUGUGGAGGAAUACCGAUGGCGAAGGCAGCCCCCUGGGCCAAUACUGACGCUCAUGCACGAAAGCGUGGGGAGCAAACAGGAUUAGAUACCCUGGUAGUCCACGCCCUAAACGAUGUCAACUAGUUGUUGGGGAUUCAUUUCCUUAGUAACGUAGCUAACGCGUGAAGUUGACCGCCUGGGGAGUACGGUCGCAAGAUUAAAACUCAAAUGGAAUUGACGGGGU
rnacentral:rRNA from 1 species